UACAGAGGGUGCGAGCGUUGUCCGGAAUCACUGGGCGUAAAGGGCGCGUAGGUGGUGGCUUAAGCGUGCGGUGAAAGCUCGGGGCUCAACCCCCGAGUCGGCCGUGCGAACUGGGCUCACUGGAGCAUAGUAGAGGCAGGUGGAAUUCCGGGUGUAGCGGUGGAAUGCGUAGAGAUCCGGAAGAACACCGGUGGCGAAGGCGGCCUGCUGGGCUAUGGCUGACACUGAGGCGCGACAGCGUGGGGAGCAAACAGG
rnacentral:rRNA from 1 species